rnacentral:misc_RNA from 1 species
UUUCCGUUGGUGAACCAGCGGAAGGAUCAUUACAGAGUUCAUGCCCUUCGGGGUAGACCUCCCACCCUGUUUAUAUACUAUUGUUGCUUUGGCAGGCUGCCCUCACCAUGGGGCGUCCGGGUUCCGCCCGCGUCUCGCCUGCCAAAAGCCCCCUAAUUCUGUGUUCUGUGUCGUCUGAGUACUAUAUAAUAAGUUAAAACUUUCAACAACGGAUCUCUUGGUUCUG